GGACACUAUAGUCACCCAGACCUCUUCAGCUCAAUGAAGUGGUCUGGGUGCCAGGUCCCUCAGUUUUUAACCCUUCCCAUAAUCCAACCUCUAGUGGCUGUCUUCCUGACAGCCGCUAGAGGCGCAUUUGCGACGCUGGAUGCGACAGUUUGCAUGCGCAUUCCGCUCCACUUGGGAGUUGACGUCGGCGGGGCAGGAGAGGUCACCAGCACAGAGGGAGCCCAGCGUUCUAACCCCUUCAGUGCCACGGAAGGGGGACCCAGCUUUGUUUUCCUGACACUAUAGUGAUCCUUUAAUGUUUGUGAUAUUUUUGGAAACCCUUAGAAUUCAGCAACUAACAUAAUCAUAGGUGGUGUACUGUCGAGGAUCUGCCACAAUCCUGAUCCCAUUCAUGCAUUUGAGGACCGAGG